UUCCCAUUUCCACCAAACACACCAUCACCUACUCCUGUUUAUGACCCACCAGUUGUUGAGACUCCCCCUGUUCCAGUAUACAAUCCUCCUCCGGUUGUUGAGACUCCCCCUGUUCCAGUAUACAAUCCUCCUCCGGUUGUUGAGACUCCCCCUGUUCCAGUAUACAAUCCUCCUCCGGUUGUUGAGACUCCCCCUGUUCCAGUAUACAAUCCUCCUCCGGUUGUUGAACCACCACCAGUUUACAAUCCUCCUCCGGUUUACAAUCCUCCUCCUGUUUACACACCAACACCAAAGCCAGAACCACCAGUAGUCAAGCCUCCUUGUGACCCAAAACCAAAGCCACAGCCACCUGUCUACAAACCUGCUCCCAUUCCGGUUUAUAAGCCAAAGCCAAAGCCGCCAGUCUACAAGCCUGCUCCCGUCCCAGUUUACAAGCCAAAGCCAAAUCCAGAGCCUCCAGUCUACAAGCCUGCUCCCAUUCCGGUUUAUAAGCCAAAGCCAAAGCCACCAGUCUACAAGCCUUCUCCCAUCCCAGUUUACAAACCAAAGCCAAAUCCAGAGCCUCCGGUUUACAAGCCUGCUCCCAUUCCAGUUUAUAAGCCAAAACCAAAACCGCCUGUUUAUAAGCCUGCUCCCGUUCCAGUUUACAAACCAAAGCCAAAGCCACCCGUUUACAAGCCUGCUCCAGUUCCGGUUUACAAGCCAAAGCCAAAGCCGCCAGUCUACAAACCGGCUCCGGUUCCAGUUUACAAGCCAAAACCAGAGCCACCGGUUUACAAGCCAGCUCCGGUUCCGGUUCCAGUUUACAAACCAAAGCCAAAGCCGCCAGUCUACAAACCUUCCCCUGUUCCAGUUUAUAAGCCAAAGCCUGAGCCACCGGUCUACAAACCUGCCCCUGUUCCAGUUUACAAGCCAAAGCCAGAGCCACCGGUUGUCAAGCCUCCUUGUGACCCAAAACCAAAACCAGAGCCACCUGUCUACAAGCCUGCUCCCGUUCCUAUUUACAAACCUAAGCCAGAGCCGCCAGUCUACAAGCCUUCUCCAGUUCCAGUUUACAAACCGGAGCCAAAACCGCCUGUUUAUAAUCCUUCUCCUGUUCCAGAUUACAAUCCAACACCAAAAUCACCAUUGCCUCCGGUAAUAGACCCACCUUCACCAAAGAAACCUUGCCCACCAUUUUCUCUCCCAAAGCUUCCUCCUUUGCCCACCAUUC
rnacentral:lncRNA from 1 species